AUCAUGCGCUGAAAGAUUGUUAACAACCUUUUAUCUUCCCCCCCACCCCGGCCUCCAUGUUGGUAGGGUCCAGGUCAGAGGUCAUCAGCUCAGACAAAAUGGCGGCGCUUGUCAGUAGAGCAAGUUUGUUGAGAUCGAAGAAACUUUCACUUCACAAGGUAUGGUUCCACCACUCGGCGGUUCUCCAGUCCGGUUCUCAGUCCGGUUCUCAGUCGGGGUUCUUCCCUCCAGCCGAAGGCGUCAUGUUGCCGACAGGAAGCUUCAGCAACAGAGUGGCAUUCAUCACAGGAGGCGGGACAGGACUCGGCCGUGCAAUGACCACCACGCUGUCCCAGCUGGGAGCUCAGUGCGUCAUCGCCAGCAGGAAGUUGGAUGUUCUGCAGCAGACGGCCGACGAGAUCAGCAGCCAGACUGGAAACAAGGUCCACGUGGUUCAGUGUGAUGUCAGAGAUCCUCAGGCCGUCUCUCGUUGUGUCGACCAGAUGGAGAGUCUGACAGGACUUCCUGAUGUGAUCAUCAACAAUGCAGCAGGAAACUUUGUGUGUCCAUCAGAGCGUCUCUCACCCAACGGCUGGAAGAGCAUCACAGACAUCGUCCUGAAUGGGACGGCAUAUGUGACUCUGGAGAUAGGAAAGAGACUGAUCCAGAGUCAGAAAGGUGCUUCUUUCCUGGCCAUCACCACAAUCUAUGCUGAGUCUGGUUCUGGGUUUGUGGUCCCGAGUGCGUCUGCGAAGGCCGGAGUCGAGGCACUCUUCAAGUCUCUAGCUGCAGAGUGGGGGCGCUAUGGCCACAGGUUUAACAUCAUCCAGCCUGGACCAAUCAGAACCAAGGGGGCGUUCAGUCGUUUGGAUCCAACAGGAGCGUUUGAGAAGGCAAUGAUAGGUCGGAUCCCGACAGGUCGCCUCGGAAAACCAGCAGAGAUCGCAAACCUGGCAGCAUACAUGAGCAGCGACUAUGCGACCUGGAUGUCUGGAGCUUUGAUGUUUGUGUUCAGGUGAUCCGGUUCGAUGGAGGAGAGUACGUGUCGAUGGCCGGAGAGUUUAACGAACUUCGCAGGGUGACUCCAGAUCAGUGGACAAUGAUGGAGAAAAUGAUUCGAGGAACUAAAGGAUCAUAGUAUCCACUCUGACCACUGCCUUGUUACUAUGGAGACGGUGGGACUGUCUCUGACGCCUUCAUGGCGAUGAACUGAUCAGCUGACUCUCUGAUGUCAUGUGACUUUCUGCACAUGCUCAGUUUUCAAACAGUGAAUUUCAAACAUCACAUUAUUUUCUCUUCACUGUGAUGGUGAGUGAAGUGAGGAGGUUAGUUAUGGUUGGAUUAGUUAGUUACAGAUGAGGGUUAGCAAUGAAGUUUCCUCCUUUACAUGUUCAACUGAGAAUUUAACACAAUAAAAUUCAAUAGAAACUUUUA